UAGGCACUAGUUUACCCAGCAUUCCAGACAAAUGUAUAGGCAUGUGCCUUGUUUGAAUACAAUUUGUAAUACUUGGUGUUUGCAAGUUAUAUAUUAGAUGGUGAUAGCUUAUUACAAGCCUCUGUACUUCACAAAAUGAUUGACUAUGAGAUCCCUCUGUUCCAUUUAAAGUUGUCUCCAUAGCAACACAACUUACACAUUCUCAGGAAAAACUAAGAACCAUCUCUUUGUAUCUGUUUCCACAUCUCUUGUCUUUUCUGCUCUAAUACAUUCCUCACGCCUCAUGAACUUAGUGGCUUAAACUCCGAAUAGGUCCUUAGGGAUAGUUUUCAGCGCUUUGCAUAUGUAAUAGUGUCAGAGGCUUUCCUGUCUCAGAGUAGGCAUUGUCCAGUAGUGAGGUAACUGAACUUAAAUGUUUUAGACUUUCUGCAACUUAGCUGUGAACCUGUAAUGUAGCUGAUAUUUAUAAAAAAAUUUUAUAGUGAAAACUAUUUAUUUUAUUUUUUUAGAGUGUGGAAGGAAAAUCUGUAGCAAUUACUUUUUGAGUAUUUGUGUGCCUGGUUGUAAUGAGGCUGACUUAGAAAAGUUCUUUUUGUGCUGUGUAAAUUUAGUAUUUCUGCCAGCAUGUCAGAAAGUAAUUUUCACCUAUAACAUAAAGUAAAAUAUUCCUAGUCUACACUGUGGGAUUUUAAUUUGCACUUGCUAGGAAACUUGAAAGGUUAUGAUG
rnacentral:lncRNA from 1 species